rnacentral:rRNA from 1 species
CAAGCGUUGUUCGGAAUUACUGGGCGUAAAGGGCUCGUAGGCGGCCAACUAAGUCGGAUGUGAAAUCCCCAGGCUUAACCUGGGAACUGCAUCCGAUACUGGAUGGCUUGAAUCCGGGAGAGGGAUGCAGAAUUCCAGGUGUAGCGGUGAAAUGCGUAGAUAUCUGGAGGAAUACCGGUGGCGAAGGCGGCAUCCUGGACCGGUAUUGACGCUGAGGCGCGAAAGCCAGGGGAGCAAACGGG